rnacentral:rRNA from 1 species
UACGACUACAUAUCAGGCAUAUCAAUAAGCGGAGGAAAAGAAACUAACAAGGAUUCCCCUAGUAACGGCGAGUGAAGCGGGAAGAGCUCAAAUUUGAAAUCUUAAAGGGUUUCCCUUUACGAAUUGUAGUUUAAAGAAGUGUUUUCUGUUGGAGUUUCGGUAAAAGUUCUUUGGAAGUAGGACAUCAUAGAGGGUGAGAAUCCCGUAUUUGACCGUUACUUUCCAGCUGUGUGAUACACUUUCAAAGAGUCGGAUUGUUUGGGAAUGCAGUCCAAGAUGGGUGGUAAAUUUCAUCUAAAGCUAAAUAUUGGCGAGAGACCGAUAGCGAACAAGUACCGUGAGGGAAAGAUGAAAAGAACUUUGAAAAGAGAGUUAAACAGUACGUGAAAUUGUCAAAAGGGAAGCGUUUGACACCAGUGUUGUUUAGUUGAAAAUCAAUUCAAUAGUUUUUGAUUCUAAGUAGUAUUGACUUCAUCAGCUUGCUGCUUUCUUCUCAGAAAUUAUUGAAUGCACUUUUCAGUUAACAAGUCAACAUCAAUUUCUUUUGUUGUAAAAGGGUAAGAGGAAGGUGGCUUGCGCUUCGGCUCAAGAGUUUAUAGCCUUUUAUCUCUGCAAUCGGAGAGAUUGAGGUCUGCAGCGUAGAUCCUUCGGGGUUAGAUACAUUGGUGCUAAGCUAUAGCCUUGUAUAGACAACUUGUUGACUAUGCUCAGUCAUGUAGCUUACUCGCUGAUGCUAUUUUACCUACGCUUAGGAUGUUGAGUAGCGACAUACGCAC